UACGGAGGAGGCAAGCGUUAUCCGGAAUUAUUGGGCGUAAAGCGUCCGCAGGUGGCACCUCAAGUCUGCUGUCAAAGACCGGGGCUUAACCCCAGAAAGGCAGUGGAAACUGAAUAGCUAGAGUGCAGUAGGGGUAGAGGGAAUUCCCGGUGUAGCGGUGAAAUGCGUAGAGCUCGGGAAGAACAUCGGUGGCGAAAGCGCUCUGCUGGACUGCAACUGACACUCAGGGACGAAAGCUAGGGGAGCGAAUGGG
rnacentral:rRNA from 1 species